GCGAUGGCGUAGUGGCGUGAGACGAUGCUUGCUGGCUGGGGUUUUUAGUCUUGGUUUUGUGGUUUUUGGUUUAUGCAGGGACGCGGUGAAGAUGAUGAGCUCGUGUGGUAAGAACAAGGUGUUUGUGAUUUGGUCUAUGAGGCUAAUGUGUACUGUAUAUUAGGAGCUUUGUAUGGAGCAUACGAAGACAAUGCGUUGUUUACUCUGAGCUUUUGAUAUUUUUGAGGAAAUGGGAUCGAUCAAAUUGGUGGAGUUGGUAGUUGGUAUAAGUUGUGAGGUAAUAGGGUUGGCUAACUAGGCUUUAGUCUAAAAAGGAAGUGAGAAUUGCCUAGAGAAGCUUAUAGGUGCACAGCAGCUCAGCACAGAAAACUCAUCUCUGAAAUUCAGCACUCAAGGCAGGAAAUUCUUAUUCAUCAAUCUGUCUUGCUAAGUGUUUCCUACUAUAACUAACUUCUCUAGAUAUAGUUACAGUUAUAACUAGCACAUACUUGGCUGUUGCUUGCCAACUAACAAAUCACCCAAUACAUGCAUGUGCACCAAUUAUUACAAUUAAUUAAACUACAAUGAAAACACUAACAUAACACUAAAAACAUGACUCAAUUCAGCUGCUACUUUCAUGAGUUGCUGCCUUGAAGAAUGUCCAAUGCUGGUUCUGGUAUCAGAGCUUGAGAUCUCUAGGGAACCACCAAAAUUCGGUCUUGGUAAGGGGUUGGGUGGAGUGGUUCUGUUGGGGUGUAAAAUUUUAGCUCGCUAAUUUUGUAUUUGGAUAUUUUGCAUUUUGUUUCUGCUCCUCAGGUUCUAAAGAAUGUUAUCCUGGAGGAAGCUUUGUAUGUAUCUUCCUGCUCUUC